UGCGUGUGUGUGUGUGUGUGUGUGUGUGUGUGUGUGUCCAUCUCCAUGCCUGUGUUAUAUGCAUGCAUGCGCGCGCACACACACACACACACACACA
rnacentral:miRNA from 1 species